ACGGCGCCUUUGCACUUCUGCUGCAGCCUCAUGGGGGAAGGAGUCUUUCAUGUGUCUUAUUAACCCUGCGCAGGUGAAAUCUCCUUAGCUUCAGCUUAUUUCUUAUCACAGAAUAGCUUUCCAUGUCUUCUACGCUCCCUUAUUUCUGCAUCCCAGCCAAGUUAUAACUCAGAUGCUAAUUAACAGCUGCCCCAGAGAUACCAAUAGCACUCGCAUUUUGCAUUUGGAGCUCAGAUCAAAAUACGGGCUGAGCUAAGAGCAUAUGUGCGUUUCUGAGCAUUUCCAGGAAUAACUUGGCCUUAACCUUCUCUUGGUUUCUCUGGAUGGUUUGGUCAUAAACAGAUCAGCCUCACGAUGUCUUCUGUUUUUCUUUUCUUUCACCUAUGAAAAGAAACUGCUUGGAAACUCCCUGCUGAAACUGGAAGGUGAUGACCGUCUAGACAUGAACUGCACACUGCCCUUCAGUGACCAGGUGGUGUUGGUGGGCACCGAGGAAGGGCUCUACGCCCUGAAUGUCUUGAAAAACUCCCUAACCCAUGUCCCAGGAAUUGGAGCAGUCUUCCA
rnacentral:sRNA from 1 species